rnacentral:rRNA from 1 species
UGAAUACGAGACGCUAAGGCGUCGAAGUAGUGUAUGUCAUACUUCCAAGAAAAGCUUGCACUGUCAUAGAUAAAAAACGCCUGUACCAUACCGACACAGGUGGGUAGGUAGAGUAUACUAAGGGGCGCGAGAUAACUCCCUCUAAGGAACUCGGCAAAAUAACUCCGUAACUUCGGGAGAAGGAGUGCCUUAUUCGUAAGGUUGCAAUAACAAGAUCCAAGCAACUGUUUAUCAAAAACACAGGUCUCCGCUAAGUCGUAAGACGAUGUAUGGGGGCUGACGCCUGCCCAGUGCCAGAAGGUUAAAGAAGUUGGUUAGCAAUUGCGAAGCUGAUAACUGAAGCCCUGGUGAACGGCGGCCGUAACAAUAACGGUCCUAAGGUAGCGAAAUUCCUUGUCGGGUAAGUUCCGACCCGCACGAAAGGCGUAAUGAUUUGGAUACUGUCUCGGAGAGGGGCUCGGUGAAAUAGACUUGUCUGUGAAGAUGCGGACUACCUGCACCAGGACAGAAAGACCCUAUGAAGCUUUACUGUAACUUGAAAUUGAAAUUGGACUUUAUUCGCGCAGUAUAGGUGGGAGGCGUUGAUUAUAAUCUUGUGGGAUUAUUGGAGCCAUCAGUGAGAUACCACUCUUGUAAUGUUAGAUUUCUAACUUUGAAUCAUUAUCUGGUCAAAGAACAGUUUCAGGCGGGCAGUCUGACUGGGGCGGUCGCCUCCUAAACGGUAACGGAGGCGUACAAAGGUUUCCUCUGAACGGUUAGAAAUCGUAUCUAGAGUGUAAAGGCAUAAGGAAGCUUGACUGUGAGACCUACAAGUCGAGCAGGGACGAAAGUCGGUCUUAGUGAUCUGACGGUACUGAGUGGAAAGGCCGUCACUCAACGGAUAAAAGUUACUCUAGGAUAACAGGCUGAUCUCCCCCAAGAGUUCACAUCGACGGGGAGGUUUGGCACCUCGAUGUCGGCUCACCGCAUCCUGGGGCGGUAGUACGUCCCAAGGGUUGGGCUGUUCGCCCAUGAAAGCGGUACGCGAGCUGGGUUCAGAACGUCGUGAGACAGUUCGGUCCAUAUCCGGUGUAGGCGUUAGAAUAUUGAGAGGAGCCUUCCUUAGUACGAGAGGACCGAGAAGGACAUACCUCUGGUGUACCAGUUAUCGUGCCAACGGUAAACGCUGGGUAGCUAUGUAUGGAGUGGAUAACCGCUGAAAGCAUCUAAGUGGGAAGCCCACCUCAAGAUAAGUAUUCUCA